UACGGAGGGUGCUAGCGUUGUUCGGAAUGACUGGGCGUAAAGGGCUCGUAGGUGGCCAACUAAGUCAGACGUGAAAUCCCUCGGCUUAACCGGGGAACUGCGUCUGAUACUGGAUGGCUAGAGAUUGGGAGAGGGAAGCGGAAUUCCCGGUGUAGUGGUGAAAUGCGUAGAUAUCGGGAGGAACACCAGUGGCGAAGGCGGCUUCCUGGCCUGUUCUUGACGCUGAGGCGCGAAAGCUAGGGGAGCAAACGGG
rnacentral:rRNA from 1 species